UUUUCAUUUUAACAUUAGUUUUAAUCAAACUUUUAAAUCUGUUCUUAGUAGUCUAAUAUAUGAUAUGUCCUCUGUCUGAGGACUAUAUGAAAUGGAACAAGGAGACGGAAUAGGAGUUUUCUCCAUCUACUCCACGCAUUGACCUGGUGUUGCAAUAUUUCCAGGAACGGGGGAGUUUUG
rnacentral:snRNA from 1 species